rnacentral:rRNA from 1 species
UACGUAGGGAGCAAGCGUUGUCCGGAAUCAUUGGGCGUAAAGAGCGCGUAGGUGGCUUUAUAAGUCCGUUGUGAAAGUCAAAGGCUCAACCUUUGAAAGCCGAUGGAUACUGUGAAGCUAGAGUACGGAAGAGGCGAGUGGAAUUCCUGGUGUAGCGGUGGAAUGCGCAGAUAUCAGGAGGAACACCAAUAGCGAAGGCAGCUCGCUGGGACGGUACUGACGCUGAGACGCGAAAGCGUGGGGAGCGAACAGG